rnacentral:lncRNA from 1 species
AUGAAGAACGUUGCAGUCCAAGCCGUGCAAGGAGUCUCCGUAAAUAGAGCCUUUGUGUGCUCCCAGCCGAGAUCAACUCUGCCCCCAGCGCUCCCAAGGCGGAAACCCGCUGGGCCUUCGGACCAAGAGUCCCUCAACAGAGUACCGGCCUUCCCUCUGGCUACUGGACCGACGCGCCGUGCCGUGGUCCAACCCAGAACUCUCAAAGAGACCAAGCUUCAGUGCCUCCUGACGCCCAGACAAAACAGGCUGAACGUCUUCAUACAGCUGGAUCCACACACGACAUGUGGAUUGGCCUUCUGCACUGUGUCACAGGAGAGCAUGAGAUGUCCCUCGAUGCCUGUCAACAUGGUCCCUUGGGGGAAGACAGAGAGAAGGAGUGGAUAGGGAAGUUUUGUCUGAAAUCCUUCUCAGUAAACGCUGGCUGAAGGAGGUUCACAAGUACUUGCAUUUCAGGUAUGAUUAUGUAGUUUAAUUUCCCUUUUGUGUCGCUUUUCAAAGAUUAUUCAGUGUUUUUAUUUGUACAUGUACACUUAGAGUACAGUUAAGAAAGAAAUUAUAAUCUGAUAUUUCCCAUUAAAUUUGUAGGUCAACUGCAGAGCUGGAGUCCUGCCAUAAUCACAUCCUGAUGUAUGCCAGCAAGUUUAUCAGUUUCAGCUCUCCAGUCUAUGAAGCCUGAAUCUUACUGGCUGGCCUAGGACUACAACCACCAUGUCCACAGACCACCCAAGAGAAGACCUGAUGGCUCCAUAGAGUAUGUUAUAAGCACAAUAAAUGUUAUUAAGUCUAUCUUAAUUUGUCUCAGCCACUAUAUUCUGUACUAACAAAGAAUGUUCAGAAACCUGGAUCAGGCUUUUACAUGCAGCUGUAUCUUGGUUUCUCAAAACUGUGAUAACAUGUUUACAUGUGCAAAAAAUAACCAGGAUACUCCAAAAACACGAUCAUAAUCAGGAUGCUAGUUAGCUGUUAUUAUUUAAACUGUGACCAGUUGUGUUCAAGCUGUCACAGCUAGAUACUGCCUCACUGAUGGUUUCUGAAAACUAUAAAAGGCACAAUAAUGUAUUUAAAAACAAGUCAGGCCUCAUCUGGCAAGGUCAAACUCCAAAUUUCACACUAGAACAACCGAGGCAUCAAUUUGACUGUUUCAAAUUUUCAAUGUAAUAACUUUGUUGAAAUAAAACCCAUGUAACUAUAGGACCCUGACUCCCCCUAAAUGUGUGUAUAUAUUACAUCCAAUUUCUUUAUUCUUAUUCUACACAGGUCAGAGAUUGCCGCAGACAUAGAGGCAUGCUGUUGCACGUUGAAGAAUAAAGAAUCCUAUCUAACAGCAAAAAUCUAAGUUUAUGUUGACCUUGACUGACAACUGUGCAUCGUUACUCUCCAUACAACCUACAUUGUUAUAUUACUUUGAAAAAUAAAACUUGAC